GAUGAACGCUGGCGGCGUGCCUAAUACAUGCAAGUCGAGCGAACAGACGAGGAGCUUGCUCCUCUGACGUUAGCGGCGGACGGGUGAGUAACACGUGGAUAACCUACCUAUAAGACUGGGAUAACUUCGGGAAACCGGAGCUAAUACCGGAUAACAUGUUGAAACGCAUGGUUCAACAGUGAAAGACGGUCUUGCUGUCACUUAUAGAUGGAUCCGCGCCGUAUUAGCUAGUUGGUAAGGUAACGGCUUACCAAGGCAACGAUGCGUAGCCGACCUGAGAGGGUGAUCGGCCACACUGGAACUGAGACACGGUCCAGACUCCUACGGGAGGCAGCAGUAGGGAAUCUUCCGCAAUGGGCGAAAGCCUGACGGAGCAACGCCGCGUGAGUGAAGAAGGUCUUCGGAUCGUAAAACUCUGUUAUUAGGGAAGAACAAAUGUGUAAGUAACUAUGCACGUCUUGACGGUACCUAAUCAGAAAGCCACGGCUAACUACG
rnacentral:rRNA from 1 species